AGACGAACGCUGGCGGCGUGCUUCAUACAUGCAAGUCGAACGAGAAGCUAGCUUCGGUUAGUGGAAAGUGGCGGACGGGUGAGUAAUAUGUAGAGAAUCUGCCCUAGAGAGGGGGACAACAGAGGGAAACUUCUGCUAAUACCCCAUAUGAGCGUACCUGCGAUGGUAUUCUUGAAAACUCCGGUGCUCUAGGAUGAGUCUGCAUCUGAUUAGCUAGUUGGUGGUGUAAUGGACUACCAAGGCGACGAUCAGUAGCUGGUUUGAGAGGAUGAUCAGCCACAAUGGGACUGAGACACGGCCCAUACUCCUACGGGAGGCAGCAGUAGGGUAAUUUUGCGCAAUGGGCGAAAGCCUGACGCAGCAACGCCGCGUGAAUGUUAAACCCGUUCGGGGUGUAAAGUUCUGUCAGUGGGGACGAAUAAUGACGGUACCCACAGAGGAAGCACCGGCUAACUCCGUG
rnacentral:rRNA from 1 species